CGAGGGGAGUGAAACAGUUUCUGAAACCGGACGCCUACAAUCAGUUGGAGGGCCCUUGCGGCCUGACAGCGUACCUUUUGUAUAAUGGGUCAUCGACUUAGUGUAUCUAGCAAGCUUAAGCCGUUAGGUGUAGGCGCAGCGAAAGCGAGUCUUAAUAGGGCGAUUGAGUUAGAUGCAUUAGACCCGAAACCGAGUGAUCUAGGCAUGACCAGGUUGAAGGUUGGGUAACACCAACUGGAGGACCGAACCCACAUCUGUUGAAAAAGAUCGGGAUGAGUUGUGCCUAGGGGUGAAAGGCCAAUCAAACUCGGAGAUAGCUGGUUCUCCGCGAAAUCUAUUUAGGUAGAGCGUCAUCCGAAUACCCCGGGGGGUAGAGCACUGGAUGGGUAAUGGGGCCCCACAGGCUUACUGAUCCUAACCAAACUCCGAAUACCCGGGAGUAAUAGAUGGCAGACACACUGCGGGUGCUAACGCCCGUAGUGAAAAGGGAAACAACCCUGACCGACAGUUAAGGCCCCUAAUUCAUGGCUAAGUGGGAAAGCAGGUGGGACGACCAAAACAACCAGGAAGUUGGCUUAGAAGCAGCCAUCUUUUAAAGAUAGCGUAACAGCUCACUGGUCUAAUUAAGUUGUCCUGCGGCGAAGAUGUAACGGGGCUCAAGCCAUGAGCCGAAACUUCGGAUGCAUUUAAUGCAUGGUAGCGGAGCGUAGUGUGACAUAGUUCCAUGCGUCCUUCGUUUUAUAGCGGACUGCCCAGGCUUUCGAGCCUGUGUGGAGGCGCGUAAAAUACUGGACGCAAGGAGCUUUCUGUGAAGCCGGCCUGUGAGGGAUCCGGUGGAGAGAUCACUAGUGAGAAUGAUGACAUGAGUAACGACAAAGGGGGUGAGAGACCCCCUCGCCGAAAAUCCAAGGGUUCCUGCUUAAAGCUAAUCUGAGCAGGGUAAGCCGGCCCCUAAGCCGAGGGCGAAAGCCGUAGGCGAUGGGAACCAGGUUAAUAUUCCUGGGCCAGGAGGAAGUGACGGAUCAUAAAGAUUGUUGGAUCAGGCGUAGUUGCCCCAGCAGUUCAGUGGUUCCUGGAAAUAGCCCUCCAUCAGACCGUACCCUAAACCGACACAGGUGGAUAGGUAGAGUAUACCAAGGCGCUUGAGAGAACUAUGUUGAAGGAACUCGGCAAAAUACCUCCGUAAGUUCGCGAGAAGGAGGCCCGGUUUCUAGGCAACUGGAAGCUGGGGGCACAAACCAGGGGGUGGCGACUGUUUACUAAAAACACAGGGCUCUGCGAAGUCGCAAGACGACGUAUAGGGUCUGACGCCUGCCCGGUGCCUGAAGGUUAAAAGGAGGGGUGAGAGCUCCGAAUUGAAGCCCAGGUAAACGGCGGCCGUAACUAUAACGGUCCUAAGGUAGCGAAAUUCCUUGUCGGGUAAGUUCCGACCUGCACGAAUGGCGUAACGACUUCCCCGCUGUCUCCAACAUAGACUCAGUGAAAUUGAAUUGCCUGUCAAGAUGCAGGCUUCCCGCGGUUAGACGGAAAGACCCCGUGCACCUUUACUACAACUUUACACUGAUAACAGGCACAACAUGUGCAGAAUAGGUGGUAGGCUUUGAAGCAGAAACGCCAGUUUUUGUGGAGCCUCCUUUGAGAUACCACCCUUGUUUUGCUUGUUAUCUAACUGCGGUCCGUUAUCCGGAUCCAGGACCCUGUAUGGUGGGUAGUUUGACUGGGGCGGUCGCCUCCUAAAGCGUAACGGAGGCGCGCGAAGGUUGGCUCAGAGCGGUCGGAAAUCGCUCGUUGAGUGCAAUGGCAGAAGCCAGCCUGACUGCGAGACUGACAAGUCGAGCAGAGUCGAAAGACGGCCAUAGUGAUCCGGUGGUCCCGAGUGGAAGGGCCAUCGCUCAACGGAUAAAAGGUACGCCGGGGAUAACAGGCUGAUGGUGCCCAAGAGUCCAUAUCGACGGCACCGUUUGGCACCUCGAUGUCGGCUCAUCUCAUCCUGGGGCUGGAGCAGGUCCCAAGGGUACGGCUGUUCGCCGUUUAAAGAGGUACGUGAGCUGGGUUUAGAACGUCGUGAGACAGUUCGGUCCCUAUCUGCCGUGGGUGUAGGAUACUUGAGAGGAGUUGCCCCUAGUACGAGAGGACCGGGGUGAACGAUCCACUGGUGGACCAGUUGUCGACUACGGCAGUGCUGGGUAGCUAUGAUCGGACAGGAUAACCGCUGAAAGCAUCUAAGCGGGAAGCCCCCCUCAAAACAAGGUAUCCCUGAGGACCGAGGUAGACCACCUCGUCGAUAGGCCAGAGGUGUAAGCGUGGUAACACGUUCAGCUGACUGGUACUAAUGGUCCGAUAGGCUUGAUUUG
rnacentral:rRNA from 1 species